rnacentral:rRNA from 1 species
AUUGAACGCUGGCGGCAUGCCUUACACAUGCAAGUCGAACGGCAGCACGGGAGCAAUCCUGGUGGCGAGUGGCGAACGGGUGAGUAAUAUAUCGGAACGUGCCCAGUCGUGGGGAUAACGUAGCGAAAGCUACGCUAAUACCGCAUACGAUCUAUGGAUGAAAGCGGGGGAUCGCAAGACCUCGCGCGAUUGGAGCGGCCGAUAUCAGAUUAGGUAGUUGGUGAGGUAAAGGCUCACCAAGCCGACGAUCUGUAGCUGGUCUGAGAGGACGACCAGCCACACUGGGACUGAGACACGGCCCAGACUCCUACGGGAGGCAGCAGUGGGGAAUUUUUGGACAAUGGGCGCAAGCCUGAUCCAGCAAUGCCGCGUGCAGGAUGAAGGCCUUCGGUUGUAACU